AAGCGCUUGCAACCAGACUCGCUCGUAGUUGCUCAGCCGGCCUCUUGGCCGGUGUACUCUUCUACGAUCGGGCCAGCAUCAGUUCGGGCGGCAGGAUAAAGGUGUCGGGAAUGUAGCACCCUUCGGGGUGCGUUAUAGCCCGGCGCGGAAUGCUGCCAGCCUGGACUGAGGAUCUCGCUUCGGCAAGGAUGCUGGCGUAAUGGU
rnacentral:rRNA from 1 species